GUGCCGUGAACUCCCACUUCCUGCCGGACGGCCCGGCCAGCACCUGCCCGCCGAAGGCGUCCCCGUCCGCCAGCAGGCCGAGGACCACCUCGUCGCCGUAGGGCCCCUCGCCGACCUUCUCCACCUUGCCGUGCGCGACCAGGUAGACGUGGUCCGCCUUGCGGCCCUCCUGCACGAUGAUCUGGCCCGGCUCGUACUCCUUCUGCACGAACUUCUCCGCCAGCGCGCCGAGCGCGCCGUCGUCCGUGAAGCCGCGCAGCGGCGGCAGUUCACCCAGCUCCGCGGGCACGACCUGGACCUUCGCGCCGGUCUUCACGAAGGACACCCGGCCGUCGCCCAGGGUGUACGCCAGGCGGCGGUUGACCCGGUAGGUCGCGCCCGGCACGUUCACCCACGGCAGCAUCCGGGACAGCCAGCGGGAGCUGAUCCCCUGCAUCUGGGGUUCGGACUUGGUGGUCGUGGCCAGGUUGCGCGCUGCUGCGGUGCUGAGGCUCUGCUGCUCCUGCUG
rnacentral:antisense_RNA from 1 species